rnacentral:rRNA from 1 species
CUGCCAGUAGUCAUAUGCUUGUCUCAAAGAUUAAGCCAUGCAAGUCUAAGUAUAAGCACUUAUACUGUUAAACUGCGGAAAGCUCAUUAUAUCAGUUAUAGUUUAUUUGAUGGUAAACCCACUACAUGGAUAACCGUAGUAAUUCUAGAGCUAAUACAUGCCUUGAAGCGGUAACUUCGGAAGCCGUGGACUUAUUAGAUCAAGAGCUGACCCUUUUCGGAGGAACAAGCUGAAUCAUAGUAAUUUCGCUAAUCGCAGUGGUUUUGUGCCGGCGAUGGGUCAUUCAAAUUUCUGCCCUAUCAGCUGUGAUGUUAGUGUAGUGGACUAACAUGGCAUAAACGGGUGACGGAGGAUUAGGGUCUGAUUCCGGAGAGGGAGCCUGAGAAAUGGCUACCACUUCCAAGGAAGGCAGCAGGCGCGUAAAUUACCCAAUCCUGACACAGGGAGGUAGUGACAAUAAAUAACAAAGCAGGGCUCUUUGAGUCUUGCUAUUGGAAUGAGUACAAUUUAAAUCCCUUAACGAUUAACAAUUGGAGGGCAAGUCUGGU